rnacentral:rRNA from 1 species
UACGGGGGGAGCAAGCGUUGUUCGGAUUUACUGGGCGUAAAGGGCGCGUAGGCGGCGCAACAAGUCACUUGUGAAAUCUCCGGGCUUAACCCGGAGCGGCCAAGUGAUACUGUCGUGCUAGAGUGCGGAAGGGGCUACUGGAAUCCUCGGUGUAGCGGUGAAAUGCGUAGAUAUCGAGAGGAACACCUGCGGCGAAGGCGGGUAGCUGGGCCGACACUGACGCUGAGGCGCGAAAGCCAGGGGAGCAAACGGG